rnacentral:rRNA from 1 species
UGCCAGCCGCCGCGGUAAGACGGAGGGCGCAAGCGUUGUUCGGGAUCACUGGGCAUAAAGAGCACGUAGGCGGUCUACUAAGUCUGACGUGAAAGCCCUCGGCCCAACCGGGGAACUGCAUUGGAUACUGGUAGACUCGAGGAUAGGAGGGGUGAGCGGAACUCCUGGUGGAACGGUGAAAUGUGUAGAUAUCAGGAGGAACACCGGUGGCGAAAGCGGCUCACUGGGUCUUUUCUGACGCUGAGGUACGAAAGCUAGGGUAGCGAACGGGAUUAGAUA